rnacentral:misc_RNA from 1 species
ACAGCACUGCACUGCAGAAAUCUCAAUUUAAUCCAAAAUUUCAACAUCAUCAGGGGAUUGAAAUUGUGAAUUCCAAUAUGUCACAGUAAAAGAUCUAAGUGAAACAGGUUUAAAUGGUAAGUUUAAAAUGUCAAAACUUAUGAUUCAGCCAUUUUGCAGAGUCACCUAAGAGAGACAAACUAAAGGUAAUUUCAACAAUUUGUAAUCACAUGCAGCAACCUUAUUAGCACAUGCAUCAUAAAUGAGCAUUGGCAAUGUCAG